rnacentral:misc_RNA from 1 species
CUCAGCUUCUUCACCAACCAUUAACCGAGACAUUGACUUCUCUAUAUCUUCCUUCUUCACUAAAAUUUUUUUCUCAUGCCUAGACCAUUCUUGGGCACCAACUGCAACUCCUAUUUUCAAAAGAUCUGUAAUGAGUUUUUCGUUGUCAAACUGCUCAGCAUAGAGUGGCCAUGUGAUCAUUGGCACCCCUGCACUCACUCCCUCCAACGUAGAAUUCCAUCCACAAUGAGUCAUAAAA